AUUGAGAUGUAGUGACACUCAGGCUAUUCAGAAUAACACUCUACUUCCCUAAUAUGGAUGUGUAUCUAGCUCUAUCUUUUACUACCCAAGAGAGACUAGUGCUAGCCUAUAUUUAGUUGAUUUUGCUGUCACGCUGUUUCUUGGACUCACUACUUCCCUUACCUCUAUCUGUCUUCUGUUGUCUGUGUGCCCUUUUUCUGUUCCCCAGGUUGUCUGACUGCGGUCCUGACUCUCUCUGUCAGUGCAACUCUCCACGUCACUUUGCAUUCAGUUCUGCCUGUCCGCUGAGACUCUCACUUAGGCAUUGCAAAAACAGUUGAACAACUGAGAUCUUCCAGUAGUUCACAAAUGCAAAUAUUACGGAGGAUGGCCCUGAUAACGACCUCUGCAGACUACCCUCUGGAACAUUUCCUGCCUUUUGGAAGAUUUAACAAUAGUGAUUUCUCUCUGCUCCAUAUUCACCAGCCAGGACGUUUUGAGGUUGUGUGUUAUGUGGGACUAUCUACAUUGCUAAUAGCUGUUUUGCAUUUAGUUUUCAGGUGAUGGGGCAUCACUGUUCAAACAAGGACAUGUACUAAAUUAACCCUCAUCCACAAUAUCAUGGAGAUUAGCUGUGCCAUCUUGGAGACCAGAGACUCCCAGGAGUUCGAAUUCUCUUACAAACUGGAGCUCCUUGGCUACAUGCUGGACUUCAUUAAAAAGGAACCACUGAUUCCCUGGCAUUCCCAGUUCGCUACAAAGGCAAUUCUUGCCAUUGGACAUCUGAGCCUUUUUUGAAACUCAAACCAUCUCUGACCUUGGAGGAAAACCUGAGCUCCUUGAUCAGUGCUUCAAAAGUUUAUUUCCUCUUCCUCCCUUGGAGAUGAUGAAAAAGGAAAGCGAGACAGCAAAGGAUGCUCUGCUUAUACAAUCGCUCUACGUGAGGUCCUUGGAAGCCCUUGACAAGCUAACGGAGACUUUGCUGGAGAAGAACAACCGCAGACUGGUUCCAGGAAAUGUUUGAACUCCUAGACAUGGUUCAGUUCAGGGAAGGAGUGGGAGAGAGAAAGGGCCUUGCAGGCCAGCACCCAGCUGCUGACUGCCUAUCAAGAGACAGUUCAUAGCACAACUCAAGACACUUUUAAUCAGUUUGGAUCUCUGAUUGGACAAAUAGCACAUACAGCUGUGAUUCACUGGCCACGUCCCUCAGUGGGUGGUUGACUGUAUCAGCUGCCUUCUCUAUAUACAAGGCCAGCCAUGAACUGGGGUCAGCGGAGGAGGAGCUGAGCUGUCUCGUGAAGAACUAACAAAGCUCAGACCUGAGGCUCGUUUCAGGCAUCUUCCAAAAUGGCCAGGGUUGUUAGUGAGUACUCCCUUCCGAACAGGCCGCAGACUUUAUUGAGGCCACAUGAAUAGUAUGCUGUCUGCUAACCCCAUCUGUGCCACGCAGCUGGCUGUGGAUGAAGAUCAUCCUAAAGGAGUGUGGAGAUGCCAUGCUGGACAGGUGCCAACUAUCCUGGAUAUAAUAUAUAGCCACAUGCCUAAUAUCCAGGAGGGCAGCUUGAGGCAGUUCCUGCUGGAGGCAGUGUCCAUUUUAGCUCACCAGCACCUAGAGGCAGUCAUCUCCAGCCUCCUCAGCAAAUGUGUGCUGAUGGACAGUGACACACUGA